rnacentral:rRNA from 1 species
AUUGAACGCUGGCGGCAUGCCUUACACAUGCAAGUCGAACGGCAGCACGGGAGCAAUCCUGGUGGCGAGUGGCGAACGGGUGAGUAAUAUAUCGGAACGUGCCCAGUCGUGGGGGAUAACGCAGCGAAAGCUGUGCUAAUACCGCAUACGAUCUACGGAUGAAAGCGGGGGAUCGCAAGACCUCGCGCGAUUGGAGCGGCCGAUAUCAGAUUAGCUAGUUGGUGGGGUAAAGGCCCACCAAGGCGACGAUCUGUAGCUGGUCUGAGAGGACGACCAGCCACACUGGAACUGAGACACGGUCCAGACUCCUACGGGAGGCAGCAGUGGGGAAUUUUGGACAAUGGGCGAAAGCCUGAUCCAGCAAUGCCGCGUGCAGGACGAAGGCCUUCGGGUUGUAAACUGCUUUUGUACGGAACGAAACGGUCUCUUCUAAUAAAGGGGGCUAAUGACGGUACCGUAAGAAUAAGCACCGGCUAACUACGUGCCAGCCGCCGCAGUAA